AGAAGGGAGCUUGCUCCCGGAUGUUAGCGGCGGACGGGUGAGUAACACGUGGGUAACCUGCCUGUAAGACUGGGAUAACUCCGGGAAACCGGAGCUAAUACCGGAUAGUUCCUUGAACCGCAUGGUUCAAGGAUGAAAGACGGUUUCGGCUGUCACUUACAGAUGGACCCGCGGCGCAUUAGCUAGUUGGUGGGGUAAUGGCUCACCAAGGCGACGAUGCGUAGCCGACCUGAGAGGGUGAUCGGCCACACUGGGACUGAGACACGGCCCAGACUCCUACGGGAGGCAGCAGUAGGGAAUCUUCCGCAAUGGACGAAAGUCUGACGGAGCAACGCCGCGUGAGUGAUGAAGGUUUUCGGAUCGUAAAGCUCUGUUGUUAGGGAAGAACAAGUGCGAGAGUAACUGCUCGCACCUUGACGGUACCUAACCAGAAAGCCACGGCUAACUACGUGCCAGCAGCCGCGGUAAUACGUAGGUGGCAAGCGUUGUCCGGAAUUAUUGGGCGUAAAGGGCUCGCAGGCGGUUUCUUAAGUCUGAUGUGAAAGCCCCCGGCUCAACCGGGGAGGGUCAUUGGAAACUGGGAAACUUGAGUGCAGAAGAGGAGAGUGGAAUUCCACGUGUAGCGGUGAAAUGCGUAGAGAUGUGGAGGAACACCAGUGGCGAAGGCGACUCUCUGGUCUGUAACUGACGCUGAGGAGCGAAAGCGUGGGGAGCGAACAGGAUUAGAUACCCUGGUAGUCCACGCCGUAACGAUGAGUGCUAAGUGUUAGGGGGUUUCCGCCCCUUAGUGCUGCAGCUAACGCAUUAAGCACUC
rnacentral:rRNA from 1 species